GCUCCAUUGGCGCAGUUGGUUAGCGCGUGGUACUUAUAGUGCGUAAGACAUGCCAAGGUCGGGAGUUCGAUCCUCCCAUGGAGCA
rnacentral:tRNA from 1 species